UAAAACCCUUGUGAGUGCAGUUAUCUUCUUAGCUGGCUGGCUAGAGACCAGUUAGCUUACAUUCAGGAGGUGUCAUUCAGAGUUGGAGAGUGUAUGAACCCUGCAGCUUCACUGAGGACAGGACUUCUGUAGAGCUAGCUUGUCGAAGCACUGCAGGCUGCUUAACUCGGUUCUGAUCCAUGUCAGCUAUCAGCAACAAUCCCCCAAGAGAUGUCCCUCGUUGAUGACAUCAUCUCUCAGCGUGGGAAGUUGAUGGAUCCCUCGCCAUUUUGGUGCCCGCGGUUUUGAUGAAGUGGUGAGCAGAUGUAUCUCUACCUUCUGCCCUCCCCACCUUUGGCCCCUACAUCACCGCCACACCUCCCGCCACAGGUUGCCAGGGAACGGUGACUCCUUGAAGUUGUGUGGGCGGAUGGCUGGACAAGUGAAGGGGUGGAUGGAGACAGUAGAGCGAGAUAACUCGCCAUGAAGACAUUCUCCCGGGCGGCUGCAUCUCCCAAUUUGCUUGACCAGGCAUCAUUUGAAUAAUUGUUGAAAAGCUUGCAUGGGUUCCAUAUUAAUGCCUUGAUUUCCUGUGGGGUGCCAUGGCUAGAUGAAACAUUACAGGACCAGUGUCAGACUCCAGAUGUGAUUGGUAGACCAAAGUGGGCAGUGUGGCACAACAUGGGCGGGAAAAGCUGCGAUGAUACAUCAAAGGGUCAGCCACUGGAAAUAGCCAUGGCAACCAGUCCGACUCACCAUGACAUCGCCACAGAGGGCAAACACGCCGUGUGAGGUCUUUUAGGAUGUCAUAAAACACUGACUCAGAUACGAAAUAGACCGUCUGGGAAAGACAAAAGCUCUCUCUCACACACACACACACACACACACACCCUGACAAACAAAGAUUUUGUACUCCAUAUUCAACAUUUCUCUCUAGAACAUCUUGCUGAUAGAAUAUUGACUGUCUACCACAGUGCACUGUACGCUCUCGUGCACUUUACUGUUGUUUAUAUACAGAACUUUAUAACCUAGUUUCUAGUUACUAUGGUUACCUCAUGCUCAGCGGAUGGAUGUCUCUUUAUCAGAGAGAGAGAGUGCGAGAAAGAGAGAGAUGUGCGCUAUGAAUGUAUUCACCAAAGCUCAAUUAAAUCUUGUGAUUUAGUUGAAAUGGAAUAAGAUUUUAAUUUGUUGUUGUCCGGUUAAAAGAAAAGGAAAACACACAUACACACUGACGAAACACAGAGUUAUAAAAUGAUGCAAAAGCAGAGAUACAGCAGUAGCAACAGAGCUGAAUAUCCAGCCUGAAGGGGAUAAUGGUAUUGUUAUUUUUUAUAGCUCUAUAGAAGCACUGUGUGUAUAACAUGUCGAACAGUCAUAAUAAGCCUUGGAGCAGCAAUGAUGGAAGUAGAUCACUCAGAACAAAGAAUGGUUAUAGUUAAAGCACUGAUUGAAUGAAUGGAAUCUAAUAAUACAGGUGAGAGCCUUGAGAUAAUUGAGCAAUAAGCUGUCCUUGUUUUAUUUAGCUGAGGAAAUGUUUUUAAUGUUAGGGAAGACAUUUUAACAGCUGUCUACAAAUCACUCUGAGUCGGUCUUUGCUUUCAACAUCACAUCCUUGCACUAGUUUCUCCCUCAAAACUUUCUCAGAUCAUCAGCUAUGCAAGUUAAAUAAUGAGCACCAGCCAGUCCUGACUGUCAGAUCUGUAUACGCAGUCAGUUAGAUGUACAGCAACCUUCAUCACCUAGGGCCCUUCACACCUCCUCAUUACUCAGUCCAACUCUUCCCAUCAGGACGCCGUUAUAAAACCUUCUCGCCAGAACAAACAUAUUCAAAAAGUAAUUCAUUGUAACUGCCAUUAAAAUGAUAAACAAGCAGUGAGAGACUAAUUAGUCUCACAUAUUUGUACUUUGGCAUUUCCUGUACAGCCAUACUAGUAGUUAUAGUUCUUAACUAUGAAUGUAAUAUAAUCUAUUUCUGGAGUGGCCCUAGGGAUGGCAAUGCUGGUCUGUCAGUUGGUUGGUCCACCACUUUGGUCCAGACUGAAACAUCUCAACAACACCUGGAUGGAUUGCUGUGAAACUUAGUACAGAUAUUUACAGUGCCCAAAGGAUGAAUCCUACUGACUUUGGUCCCAUGACUUUUCAUCAAGCACCACCAAGAGGGAAGUUGAAGGUUAAGGUCAACUACAGAACUCUACCCUGAAGCAACUGCACUUGUUCAGAUCCAGCAUCUUGCUUAAGGACACUUCAGCAGUGUGGACCGGAAGCUCGGCGACCCAGGACCUUGAAUUUGGGACCCCACUUUAGAACUCUGCUAUAUUUAAUGUGCUUGCAUAAAAGCGUGUGCAUGGGAGCAAAUCAUUAGACCACUAGCCUAAUGAUGCUGCUUAUAAACCAGGGCAAAAUGAGGUGAAGUGCCCACUUACAGAUGUAGAGGCUGAUGACAAAUGGCUGUGACCUUGACUACAUGGUAAUGGUGGAGUCAUCGUCGCCAAUAGUGAAGCAACAACAGUCAUCACAUCAAUUAAGCCUGAGAUCAUGCACAGUAAGACCUUAUACAGGUGCAUUAUGAAUAAAAAAAGGCAAAGUUGAUUCAGGUUACAGCAGAUCUGCUGCUGUGAUUUCAAUUUGUCUUAACACUGAGCUCCUGAAUCUCCCUUAUUUAAAUAUUCCAAAUGUAUUUCCAUGGAAACAGGACCAGAAAAAACAACAGUAAAUUACAUAAAGUGAUUACAUGCUUCAGCAUCGUAUAUAAAUUAAUAUAUCCCACCAAGUACUUACCACAGAUUUUGUUCUUGGUAGAAUUUAGCACAUUAAUCACAGAAAAUUAUAAAACGCUCAAAACACUGUUUCUCCUAAAGAAAACCUCUAUCUGAGAUACAGUACAUAUAGUUUUCAGAAUGUUAUAUAUUGCAAUCAUCUUGUGUGUCUCAUAUCCUGACAGCAUGUGUGACUAAAACUGGAAUUAAGAGAGGGGAUUCUAUAUUUCUUUUGGCUUCCAGUUUAAUUCAAAAUGGAUUUAAAAGGACAUUUAGUUAUUAUCAAAGUAUUAGCCAGCUUUUCACUAGCUUACAGGACAUUGCAGAGCUUUUAUUGGGUUCGAUCUACUUGCAAAACGGAUUUUAAAGUGAUAACUUGAAAGUAAUUUUUAAAUACUUAGAUUGGACUUGUUUUUUUAAUCUGUCAUUAUGCUGUUGCACUAUGUAAAGCUUGAUUUUAAAUAUGUUUUUCAA